AUUGAACGCUGGCGGCAGGCCUAACACAUGCAAGUCGAACGAGUGGCGGACGGGUGUGUAAUGUCUGGGAAACUGCCCGAUGGAGGGGGAUAACUACUGGAAACGGUAGCUAAUAUCGCAUACCAUCGGAUGUGCCCAGAUGGGAUUAGCUAGUAGGUGGGGUAACGGCUCACAUAGGCGACGAUCCCUAGCUGGUCUGAGAGGAUGACACGCACCACUGGAACUGAGACCCGGUCCAGACUCCUACGGGAGGAAGCAUUGGGGAAUAUUGCACAAUGGGCGCAAGCCUGAUGCAGCCAUGCCGCGUGUAUGAAGAAGGCCUUCGGGUUGUAAAGUACUUUCAGCGAGGAGGCGUUACUCGCAGAAGAAGCACCGGCUAACUCCGUGCCAGCAGCCGCGGUAAUUC
rnacentral:rRNA from 1 species